AGCAGAAAUCAAUGAGUUUAUAACGACCAAUAGUUAGAAUGAUAAACAUGUAGAUCCUUAUCAUCAGUUAAUUGAUGGGAUUUUUUAAUACAAAACAGGUCUAAAAGAAACCGGAGCUGCCUAAAGCGUCAUUGGUAUAUUGUAAGCGUGUUUCAAAGAUACCUGUGAAAUGAGACGCAGGACUUUGGAUGAGUUUCCAAUGGAUUAUUCCAGAAACGAGACCCAGAAUUUGGCGCAAUACUGGAAACAUCAAAAGAAUCUGAAAGAACAUUCUAUACUAAAAGCAUGUGCCGAGAGUGAAAACCAACGUCAAUACAGUCGAAGAAUGUUCGAUUAUGUAGUGAAGAAUGCUAAGUCGGAUCCAUCAAAAAAUCGUAGAAUAAGUUGUGAUUAUUUACCCAAACAGAACUAUAGUGGACCGUCUCAUAUCGGUAGUCCCUUGUACAACAAAACAUCUGCUCUGUUGAGCAGUAUUAGAUUACGUCCAAAAUCCCAUAUUGGUGCCAUAGAACAUCAGCAAUCCUCUUAUCCAGAUAUUGAAAAAAACUUUAAGUCAAAGCAACUGUAAUUAUAAAGUAGCAUUUACCAAUAAACCACAAUUCGGAUCUCCAAGAAAUUCUCCCACAUGUAGUUCAGUUACGAGUGAAUAUUUGCUAAUUCCCAAGAACCCAUCGGACAAAAGUCUAAAUGGUAGUGUUUUUGAGUGGUCCGAAUUAAUCGAAUCUGGAAAACAAAAUGGAAUACUACCACGUGAAGAAAUACCUGAGCUGAGAACGGAAUCACAGAUCAGAAGUUAUUCGAGGAGAUAUGUAGCUCCUUCGAUAUCAUCAGCAUCAUCAUCCAGCUUAUCAUCCUCAACACAAAUGUUGAGUCCCAGAUCUGUCAAACAAGAAAACGCCGAACUUCUGGAUCAAACAGACCAUGCGAUCGAACAAAAUAAAGAAACUCCAGAGGAGGUAACGCCUCGCCAAGUUAUCAAAACACCCAAGAAACCAGUGGAAGCUUCUUCAACACCGAGACGGAAGAAAGUUCGACCGCGAUGUUGGGUCGAUGACGUCACAGUUUCAAGCGACCCAUCUAUACAUUCUAACCCACCGGAAGCUGAAAAUGAAGAGACUACUGACAUCAACCUUGAGAAGCAACCGGAUCAGACUGUCGACGUCUGUCGUCCUGCUGAACAGCCUACAUUACCAGUUGCCAAAUCUAACAGUCCACCCACCGUAGAAUUCAAAGAUCCACUCGUUACUGAAGUUUCCGAAGAACACCCCAUUGCCGAAGAAGCAGUUUUAGAGGAUGUGAAUGUUAUUAAUCUUGACGAUCUCAAGGAGCAAAAAAUUGAACUCCCUAAAUUUAUAUGUCCUAGUUCAGAGACUAAAUCCAGACAAACAGCAAUUAAAGACUGGUUAGCUAGCACUUGUUUUACCUGUGCAAAUCGCCAAAUUCCCCUAUUCUAACCAUAGAAAUAUUAGGUUUAUGAAGACAAUCUGCUUAUUUAUGCUUUUAGAAUAACGGAUAUUAAUCUUCAUAUGGUGUAGAUGUGACGAAACACCUCUAUGGAGAUGAAGUUUAUCCUUUAAGGUGUGACCACCCCCUAGAUUGUAUGAUGAUGUACUCGUCCUAUGAAGUGUGAUCACCCCACCCCCUCUAAAGCUUCGUAAUUAAUAUAAGUACUUAAUAGACAUUCCUAUGCCAAUUUCGUUGCUGACGUUUCGUGGCUGUAGAAUUCGCUAAUGAAUUUACAAUCUUUUAUUUAUUAUCCUUCAAAUGGGGGCCUGUUUUAUUGAUAAUACCAGCUCAUAACUAAGCAAUCAAAAGGAUAACAGCCACCAAUGUCUUUUUUUUUAAAUAUUCUGAGAGUGGUUGCAAAGAUGUCGAAAUUCCUAACAGUUAAUAAACGGUAUGGAAGAAAGGGUAUACACCAUCAGAUCGUUAGGUCGAUCGAUUCUAUAUGACAAAUAAUCAGACUCUGAAUAAAGACGUCUUUAAGUACCUGGGAAGACCUCGAAAUUCCUAAUAGUUAAUAAAACGACGGUCGUUGGUUCGAUUGUUUCCGUAUGGAAAAUAAACCAAGUACAUGUAUCCAAUUAGAAUAGGAAUAAAGACAUUUUUGCGGGAAUGAUAAUGUGCAGUCUAUUUUGACUUUUCGAUGCAAUGGUAUGCUAUGUUAAUUGUUAUGUUUAUCAUUAUUGUUAAUCAAUACACAAUAAAAGUCAUUCGAAAUGUCCUUCCAUCAAAAGAACAUGCUCUAGCAUCCAUAUAUAUAUAUAUACUUUCUGUUGACGUGGUCUUCGUUUCUUGAAAAAUGUACAUUUCUUACAAAUCACUGACGUGGCAGAUUUAUAAGUAACGGUUACCAAGAUUUAAUAAAAAAAAAAUCUUAGACAUUUUUUAUGACAUUUCAAUAAUUUACUAUAAUAAAAUAACAAAAUAUUUACAACAAUAAAUUAAAUACGAUUAUUUAACCGACAAA